CCCCAACUUCACCACCAUGGAGAGCUGAUUUAUUUCAUUUUCCUUGACGUAGAAACAAAACAAAACUCCCAGGACCUGUGCCAAGGCUCGAGCGCAUUUAAAUGAGCAAACAGCAACAAAAAAAAGUUGUUUGUGAUCCUUUUGGGCCGGAAUAUUAAAACCAUGAUGGGGGUUAUGCUCUGUGCACACCACGAAGUGCAGGAAAAUGGAACCCUGAGCCACCACUUGGUGCUGCAGAUGUUGGAGGGACACAAAAUCCAGAUGUGGGCAGGGAAAAUCCCCGCUCAGUUCCUCAGUUCCCUGUUGGACACAGCUCCUUUUCCCAAUGCUGAGGUGCCUUUAUCCCAAAAAAUGGGAGCUGUUCCCAUCUCACAAAGAGUGAGGGGCAAACAGCCCUGCCUGCAGCUGCUGGGGGCGCAGGAUGUGAUGGAGGCACCCCCAAAAUUUCACAUCUCAAGGGAAAACCCAGCCUGAAUCCCGAGUUUCUCUGCAAACCCACCGAGUCCAGAACAAAAGCAGCGCGGAUUAAUAAAAGGGGGGAAAGGAAAAACA
rnacentral:lncRNA from 1 species